rnacentral:tRNA from 1 species
AGCUUUAUAGUCAAUAAUGAUAUUAGACUGCAAUUCUAAAGAGGUAAGUAAUUACUAAGGCUU